CCUCUUCUUCUGCCUUUCCCGCUGCUUGUGUGCUCUCUCUCAAAUAAAUAAAAUCUUUCUUUCUCUCAAAUAAAUAAAAUCUUAAAAAAAAAAAAGGCGGGGGGGAUGUCUCUGUACUGGCAAAUUCACACGAAGUGUUCACAGUGUGCCAGGCCGUAUUCUCCAAACCUUAGUACGUAUUAACGCCUUUUCUCCCCUGUGAGGUAGGUAUUGUCAACAUCCCCAUCUCACAGAUGAGGCGGCGCACUGAGUUCCAGCAGCUUGCCCACCGCCACGCUAAGAGAGCGGCCGAGCUGGGUCCUGGCCCCGAGCAGCCCGGCCACUUCGCUCCCCCGGAAGCUCCGUCCAGUUUUCCGAUGCUCCUGCCAGCGGGAAGUCCGGGAUGUUACCCGCACUGAGCGGUUUGUCAGAAAGUCAGCCUCGGUGCGGCGGGGGUGUGUGGGGCGUGGAAGGGCAGCCUCGAUGUCUGAGUGCUCUGUCAUCCUUGUGUGGUGUUCAUUCAGCAUACCACUGAGGUGGUGGUGGGUUAGCACUAACUGCCCCCCGGUGUUUUCAUUCCGCAGGUUCUGUUGUGCGGGAGGCUCCCGGGGCAGCUAGCCAGGCCAGUGUUCCCGCAGCGGUUGGUACCAUCGCUCCCGGCACCACCCGAAGAGCCGCCUCGGGGAAUGCAGAGUUCCCGUUCGCAAAGGCUAGAGCUUUCCUCCCCCACCAAGGAUGGGCCUCUGCAGAGGAACACGGGAAACCAAGUAUGGAGUCUUGAAAGCGCUCCCUUGUGUGGUGCGUACAACCGCACAGUUAACCAGGCUAUCGGUCAGCAGGAGAGCAUGUACAGGAGAGCUUUCCAGGUAGAGACUACAGCAUCCAAGGAGGAAAGGUCUGUUCUUCAGUCUUAGGUGAGUGACAAAAAGAUUAACCGGCAUCUUGUCAGAAUGUCUACUUGUGGACUAAAACAAAGGACACAUUCCCACUAGAACAGAAAUAAAUUUUAAUUUGUUGAAAAGUGCAGCAGUGAACAGGGUCUUUUGAAGGGCACUUUCUAAGUCAGGUGACUGAGAUGACACAAAGCCAGGGCAGAGUAACUUUUAGGAACAGAUGACACAAACACAGGAAUUCACAGAGGUCAUGGGACCUAAGUGGUCAAAGUAAAGAACCCAAAUACUCCAUCUAAUUCAUUGGUGGAUCAAUGG